rnacentral:tRNA from 1 species
AGAGUAGCUCAGUGGUAGAGCAGGGGACUCAUAAGCCCUUGGUCGCAGGUUCAAAUCCUGCCUCUGG